UCGUGCCACCUGACAUGACCAAUAGAUUUCAUUGUGAUGGAACACCAACACAAACGAGUUGUCAACACACUUACUAUCACGGCUUGAAGGCUUCUAUCAUAUAUAGGGAUAGUCUCCUUGCUCAUAACUACACUGGCCACUGCAUUAUAACCACAGAAUGACACUGAUACGGAUAUAUCCCAAGAGUAUAGUAGUAAUUAGGAGGGGGAGGAAGGAUAUUUUGGUCUUCUCACUGGUUAGGGCUUUAAGGGGGGAAAUGAGGCAUUGCAGCAUGGGGGGUUGGUUGGGGUUUUGAGGCCGCUGCCAACAGGAAGGAAGAGGAGGUCUUUCUUCCUCCCUCGCACGCUCCUCGCCAGCGCCGACGCUUGCCGUCGGCCAUCACCUCUUCUCCUCUACCUCCUUUCUCCGUUCUUCUUCGGGCCGACGCCGCCAAGGAGCACCGUCGCCAACUCCUGCAAACCGACGUCACCUCUCGCGCCGACGUCGCCUUCGCCACCAGAUCAGCACGUUGCCGCCUCCGGCGUCCCCUACAGUGAUAGCCUCUUCACUCACGGACGGGGACGUUGCUGCCGCCUUCCUCCUUCGUGCCGCAGUCACGCACUCCCUCGGCCACGAGUGACCGUGGCCGGAUCGGGCCGUCGCUGUCCUCCAUUCCUCGUUGCACACUCACUACCUCCUAUGGGCUUGGCAGCAACCACUAGGGCCACUCUGCGGCUUUCGGCGAGCUGACCCUGGUCGUCGCCGAGGCUGCCGGUAUACUCGGCACAAAUCCGACACAGUCACUCACGCCGCCUCGCUUCUCUCUCCCCUGUGAAGGUCGUCACUGUAGGGACCCGCAUCACCUCACUGCCCCACGCCAGUUGUCGCAAACCCCACGGUCAGAUCUGAUCACUCUAUAUUCUCGCCUUCCAAUCUGUCAGUCUGAUUUUUUGGCUCGCGAUCCGCCUAGCAGUCUACCUUCGAUGUUGACUGGGCCCAUGAGCCCUCACAGUCAUUGUGUUCUGACUUGACUUGUGUAAUGUUUUAUGUCCCGGCCUUUGUGUCGUUUUGUAUUCCGGCCUACGUGUCGAGGUUAUAUCCCAGCUUGCGUGCUGAUGCCAUAGCCUGGCCUGCGUACCGAUGGCGUAUCCUGGCCUGUGUGCCGAUGUCGUUCCCGGCUUGAGUGCCGAUGUCAUAGCCCGGUCUACGUACCGAGGUCGCAUCCGGCUCCGUGCCGCGUCCGGCUCCGCGUCGUCAGAUCCAACUCUCCAUACUGAUCGGAGUCGUCCACUCUUUCAUGUCCCGACAACUCGAGCGUCCCAGCUCCGCGUCCCAUUCGAGAGCGUCCUGGGCCAGACCUCGGGGUACCAGGGACCAGGGCAACCCGACCGCUGGCUGCAAGUAGCGUUGACCAGAGGACUUUUGAAGACUUGGUCAACCUAGAAGCCAUCUCAGCACGCUCCCCUCCAGGACAUCGCGACUCGGUCAACAUUCCAUCCACCUCAUCCGGCGGUCCAUCUGACUCAGAUUCCGGAUUAUCAGACACCAUUAAGGGUGCAUAAGGCUAUAAUAAUUAUAAAUGUUGAAUAAGUUAUUAGAUAAAUGUUGACUCA